GGCUUAACACAUGCAAGUCGAGGGGUAUAGUUCUUCGGAACUAGAGACCGGCGCACGGGUGCGUAACGCGUAUGCAAUCUACCUUUUACAGAGGGAUAGCCCAGAGAAAUUUGGAUUAAUACCUCAUAGUAUGUGAGAAUGGCAUCAUCUUCACAUUAAAGUUCCAACGGUAAAAGAUGAGCAUGCGUCCCAUUAGCUAGAUGGUAAGGUAACGGCUUACCAUGGCGACGAUGGGUAGGGGUCCUGAGAGGGAGAUCCCCCACACUGGUACUGAGACACGGACCAGACUCCUACGGGAGGCAGCAGUGAGGAAUAUUGGACAAUGGGCGCAAGCCUAAUCCAGCCAUGCCGCGUGCAGGAUGACGGUCCUAUGGAUUGUUAACUGC
rnacentral:rRNA from 1 species